UCUCACAGGAAAUUCUCAGCUCCUAGGCAUGGGUCCUUGGGCUUCUUGCCUCGGAAGCGCAGCAGCCGGCAUCGUGGAAAAGUGAAGAGCUUCCCUAAGGAUGACCCUUCCAAGCCUGUUCACCUCACAGCCUUCCUAGGGUACAAGGCUGGCAUGACCCACAUUGUCCGGGAAGUUGACCGGCCAGGAUCUAGUAUGUACAAAACUUGUCCAACUUGGGGUUGUGUGUAAUUAUGCCUGUAGUUACAGUAAAUUUGCAAAGAACAGUAGGUGACCUCCAUCCGAUGGUGCUUUGUGCUAAUCUGGAACAAAGGCUCAUUUACCUAGGAAUCAAACCCAGGUCCUAUGAAAGGAUAGACAAUAUUAGACUCAAGAGAUCCCUUGAGGGGCUGGGGAUUUAGCUCAGUGGUAGAGCGCUUACCUAGGAAGCGCAAGGCCCUGGGUUCGGUCCCCAGCUCCGAAAAAAAGAACCAAAAAAAAGAGAUCCCUUGAGCUUUGAUUUUUGCCUACUUGCAACUUUUUCUAGAUAGUUAGCAACUGUAUGUUUGACAAGUUAUGAAGAGACCUGAACUAAGGCCUGUGACGAAGCUGCGCUUUGAGACAGUCUGAAAUGAAAACACAUGGCCUUUUGCUGCUAUUACAGCGCUGGUAGUCAGCACCUGGCGUACUGCCUGCUUUAGAUUAGCUGCAUUCCUGAUGUGUCUUGGGCUCAACUGUUAGAAGCUUCCACUUGGUGGAGAGUCCGGAUGAGAAGAGCAGUCGUGGAAGGUCCAGUAUUAAUGGUGC
rnacentral:lncRNA from 1 species